rnacentral:rRNA from 1 species
GAUGAACGCUAGCGGAGUGCUUAAUACAUGCAAGUCGAGCGGUAGAUUGCUUCGGUGAUUGAGAGCGGCAGACGGGUGAGUAACGCGUACAUGACCUGCCCAUAAGAAGGGAAUAGCCCUUGGAAACGAGGAUUAAUGCCCUAUGUGGUUACUAAGAAUAGAGAUUAGUAAUUAAAGUUGAGGCGCUUAUGGAUGGAUGUGCGUCUGAUUAGCUAGUUGGUAGGGUAACGGCCUACCAAGGCGACGAUCAGUAGGGGGCGUGAGAGCGUGAUCCCCCACACGGGUACUGAGACACGGACCCGACUCCUACGGGAGGCAGCAGUAAGGAAUAUUGGUCAAUAGAGGAAACUCUGAACCAGCCACUCCGCGUGGAGGAAGAAGGCCCUAUGGGUUGUAAACUUCCUUUAGAUGGGAAUAAAAUGCCCUGUGAGCAGGGUACUGAAGGUACCAUCAGAAUAAGCACCGGCUAACUCCGUGCCAGCAGCCGCGGUAAUACGGAGGGUGCGAGCGUUAUCCGGAUUUACUGGGUUUAAAGGGUGCGUAGGCGGGAUAAUAAGUCUGUGGUGAAAGUUUGUAGCUUAACUAUAAAAUUGCCAUAGAUACUGUUAUUCUUGAAUUACAAUGAGGAUGGCGGAAUGUGACAUGUAGCGGUGAAAUGCAUAGAUAUGUCAUAGAACACCAAUUGCGAAGGCAGCUAUCUAGUUGUAUAUUGACGCUGAGGCACGAAAGCGUGGGGAUCGAACAGGAUUAGAUACCCUGGUAGUCCACGCCCUAAACGAUGCUAACUCGAUGUUUGUGGUUUACCGUGAGCAUCCAAGCGAAAGCGUUAAGUUAGCCACCUGGGGAGUACGACCGCAAGGUUG